rnacentral:rRNA from 1 species
CAAUAGCGUAUAUUAAAGUUGUUGCAGUUAAAAAGCUCGUAGUUGGAUUUCUGGUAGGAGUGACCGUUCCGAACUUGAUUGUUCGUGUAUUGUGUUUUCUCCAGCCAUCCUUGUGGAGAACUUUUCUUGCAUUAAUUUGUAGGGAUUGGGACCCGCAUCGUUUACUGUGAAAAAAUUAGAGUGUUUAAAGCAGGCAAUCGCUUGAAUACAUUAGCAUGGAAUAAUAAGAUAGGACUUUGGUACUAUUUUGUUGGUUUGCAUACCAAAUUAAUGAUCAACAGGAACAGUUUGAGGAUAUUCGUAUGAACAUGUCAGAGGUGAAAUUCUUGGAUUUUGAUCAGACGAACUACUGCGAAAGCAUUUGUCAAGGAUGUUUUCAUUAA